UACGUAGGCAGCAAGCGUUGUUCGGAGUUACUGGGCGUAAAGGGUGUGUAGGCGGUUGUUUAAGUUUGGUGUGAAAUCUCCCGGCUUAACUGGGAGGGUGCGCCGAAUACUGAAUAACUCGAGUGCGGGAGAGGAAAGUGGAAUUCCUGGUGUAGCGGUGAAAUGCGUAGAUAUCAGGAGGAACACCGGUGGUGUAGACGGCUUUCUGGACCGUAACUGACGCUGAGACACGAAAGCGUGGGUAGCAAACAGG
rnacentral:rRNA from 1 species